rnacentral:rRNA from 1 species
GCGAGUAUAAAUUGAGCAUUUUAGAAUAUAAUUCACACCGUCCGAUCACCGAAGUUAAGCAACGUCGGGCGCGGUCAGUACUUGGAUGGGUGACCGCCUGGGAACACCGCGUGAUGUUGGCU